CACCUACCGCCGUUCCCCAAGCCGCCGACGAGCACCAGGCAGUCGACGCCAUGGACGGCUGCUGAGCUUCGCGCCACCCGACGUCAACCGCAUCGCCGCCCCAAGGGAUCCGUGCGCGUGGCCGCGCCGCCGGUGUGUGCGGCCGCAGCAACAGGUUCGGCAAGGACUCUCGGCCCUGCCGCUUCAUUGCUCCUGCCCAAGCCGGCCUCCGCUUUCUGACCCCGCCACCGGCGAGCUGCCAUGCCCGUCCUCGUCGCACUGGUGCUAUCCUCUAGUAUGCUUGCUGGCUGCGACCAGAGCCCUGUACAUAUUUGGUUGUUGCUUUCUUGAUGGGUUUUAAGUGGAUCUUAAUUUGAUGUAUCCUGGCACUUGUCCAUGUGUAAAUCUGAUGUGCAGAACACUUAGAAGUUGCUACUCGUAGGAUAUUCUUGCUCGUAUGUGUACACGUGAAGAAUGGCUAGCUCGUAGAUCCGUUUUCUUUUUGUUAAAGAAAUAUACAUUAAUUUUUAUUUAA